UGGCUCUCGCAUCGAUGAAGAACGCAGCGAAAUGCGAUAAGUAAUGUGAAUUGCGGAAUUCAGUGAAUCAUCGAAUCUUUGAACGCACCUUGCGCUCCUUGGUAUUCCGAGGAGCAUGCCUGUUUGAGUGUCGUGAAAUCAUCAACUCCCUUGCUUUAUUGAAAGGUGAGAUUGGAUUCGGGGAUUGCUGCUCGUGUAUCGGCUUCCCUUGAAUGCAUUAGCUGGAAGUUCAUUUGCAGCAUAUAUGCGGUGUGAUAAUGUCGUCACUGUGUAGCUCAUUAUGAAUUUAGCUUCUAAUCGUCCUUCACUGGACAAUCUGAUCAUUUUGGCCUCAAAUCAGGUAGGACUACCCGCUGA
rnacentral:misc_RNA from 1 species